rnacentral:lncRNA from 1 species
UGCUCAGUCAAGUGGGGAGGACAGCAGCGCUCGCUUCCUCGGGGCUGUGGUGAGGAUGCAGGAUACCUGUAAAAGCACCCUCGGGGAGCUCCCAGCGCGAGGCCGGAAGAAUCAUGCAGCACCCCAAAACCCACGUCAGCUACCUGAUGAGGCUGCUCGACCUUUGGGGAGGUCACGAGGACCUUGUGAUGGCAGUUAGGACCCAUCUGGAUAAUCCAGGAUCGUCUCUCCAUCUCGAGAUCCUUAAUGUAAUCACCUGCCUGUCCUUUCUGCCGUACAAGCUCUGUGUUCCUGUUCCGGUUCCCACAACUCCUCAGCCAGUUCCUGAGGAAGCAGCUCCAGGAGCUCCUCAGUGUCAUCCUCAUCCGCAUCCAGAAGAAAGCUGUUUGCCAUCCCAGCCACAGCCUUGUGGAUUUCUGCAACCUCCUCAUCCUUAGCAAACCCUUUGAAGCCGUGGACCAAUCUCCUGAGUGUCUUCUUCCGAUCCUGUUAGUCAUUCGAUGUAGCCUCUUGCUGGCAGCAUUAGCAGUGGAUUUCAUAUAAUUAGUGGCCCUGAUGAAACAAACAACAUGAAAUUAUAUCAGGCACAAGAGAAAAUGGUGCAAUCA